CCUACGGGGAGCUGCAGUGGGGAAUAUUGCGCAAUGGGCGAAAGCCUGACGCAGCGACGCCGCGUGAGGGAUGAAGGUCUUCGGAUCGUAAACCUCUGUCAGCAGGGAAGAACGGUCACUGUGCUAAUCAGCCGUGAAUUGACGGUACCUGCAAAGGAAGCACCGGCUAACUCCGUGCCAGCAGCCGCGGUAAUACGGAGGGUGCGAGCGUUAAUCGGAAUUACUGGGCGUAAAGCGCUCGUAGGCGGUAUGUCAAGUCAAGGGUGAAAUCCCCGCGCUCAACGUGGGAACUGCCUUUGAAACUGGCAAACUGGAGGGGGUGAGAGGAUAGUGGAAUUCCAGGUGUAGGAGUGAAAUCCGUAGAUAUCUGGAGGAACAUCAGUGGCGAAGGCGACUAUCUGGCACAUAACUGACGCUGAGGAGCGAAAGCGUGGGUAGCAAACAGGAUUAGAUACCCCAGUAGUC
rnacentral:rRNA from 1 species